rnacentral:rRNA from 1 species
GACGAACGCUGGCGGCGUGCUUAACACAUGCAAGUCGAACGGAGCGAAUGAAAGCUUGCUUUUAUGAGCUUAGUGGCAAACGGGUGAGUAACACGUAGACAACCUGCCGAUAGGAUGGGGACAACAUUCCGAAAGGAAUGCUAAUACCGAAUGGCGUGUAGGGGAGGCAUCUCCCGUACAUGAAAGAUGGCCUCUGAAUAUGCUAUCACCUAUCGAUGGGUCUGCGUCUGAUUAGCUAGUAGGUAAGGUAACGGCUUACCUAGGCGACGAUCAGUAGCCGGUCUGAGAGGAUGAACGGCCACAUUGGGACUGAGACACGGCCCAGACUCCUACGGGAGGCAGCAGUGGGGAAUCUUCCGCAAUGGGCGCAAGCCUGACGGAGCAACGCCGCGUGAGUGAAGAAGGUCUUCGGAUCGUAAAGCUCUGUUGAAGGGGACGAACGUAUAUAGUG